UUAAAACAUCGUAUCCAACUCAAGAAGUGAGCAGACGAUCGAAGAUGUAAGAUAUCAGAAAAACCGGGAAUUUUGGUAGACCAAGCCUUGAUGAUGUUGACAGACGAAGUUAUGAGGUCAUAAAACAUUUGUGUCGUCUUCUCAUUGCAUCCCUCGCUUUUUGUGCAAGGCACUUCAUACUAAAACCAAUGGAGAAGAAAAUGUAACGUCUGCAUGACUAGAAUCUAGAUGUGCUCGCACUAGCAAUGUAAUGAGACUGACUGGAGGAGAUGGAGAGGAUUCCUGGGGGCUCUUUGGUUUUGAAGGAAGUCUACCUCGACGUCCUUUAAGACUGUCCGUGCG